AGGACGAACGCUGGCGGCGUGCUUAACACAUGCAAGUGGAGCGACGAACCGGGGCUUGCCCCGGGGCAGAGCCGCGAACGGGUGAGUAACACGUGGGUUACCUACCCCAAUGACCGGGACAACCCGAGGAAACUCGAGCUAAUACCGGAUGUGGUCUUCGGACGAAAGGAAGCUUCGGCCUCCGCAUUGGGAUGGGCCCGCGGCGCAUUAGCUUGUUGGUGGGGUAACGGCCUACCAAUGCGACGAUGCGUAGCUGGUCUGAGAGGACGAUCAGCCACACUGGGACUGAGACACGGCCCAGACUCCUACGGGAGGCAGCAGUGGGGAAUCUUGCGCAAUGCGCGAAAGCGUGACGCAGCAACGCCGCGUGGGGGAAGAAGGCCUUCGGGUUGUAAACCUCUUUCAGUUGGACGAAGCCUUGCGGGUUAAUAGCCCGUGGAGGUGACGGUACCUUCAGAAGGAGCCCCGGCUAACUACGUGCCAGCAGCCGC
rnacentral:rRNA from 1 species